GGAGGGGUGGCAGAGUCUGGUUUAAUGCACCGGUCUUGAAAACCGACGUAGCGCAAGCUACCGAGGGUUCGAAUCCCUCCCCCUCCGCCA
rnacentral:tRNA from 4 species